AUUGAACGCUGGCGGCAGGCCUAACACAUGCAAGUCGAGCGGAUGAAGGGAGCUUGCUCCUGGAUUCAGCGGCGGACGGGUGAGUAAUGCCUAUGAAUCUGCCUGGUAGUGGGGGAUAACGUCCGGAAACGGGCGCUAAUACCGCAUACGUCCUGAGGGAGAAAGUGGGGGAUCUUCGGACCUCACGCUAUCAGAUGAGCCUAGGUCGGAUUAGCUAGUUGGUGGGGUAAAGGCCUACCAAGGCGACGAUCCGUAACUGGUCUGAGAGGAUGAUCAGUCACACUGGAACGGAGACACGGUCCAGACUCCUACGGGAGGCAGCAGUGGGGAAUGGUGGACAAUGGGCGAAAGCCUGAUACAGCCAUGCCGCGUGUGUGAAGAAGGUCUUCGGAUUGUAAAGCACUUUAAGUUGGGAGGAAGGGCAGUAAGUUAAUACCUUGCUGUUUUGACGUUACCAACAGAAUAAGCACCGGCUAACUUCGUG
rnacentral:rRNA from 1 species